GACGGAGGAUGCAAGUGUUAUCCGGAAUCACUGGGCGUAAAGCGUCUGUAGGUGGUUUAAAAAGUCCAUUGUUAAAAAUUGAAGCUUAACUUCAAAGAUGCAAUGGAAACUUUUAAACUUGAGUAUGGUAGGGGUAGAGGGAAUUUCCAGUGGAGCGGUGAAAUGCGUAGAUAUUGGAAAGACCACCAAUGGCGAAGGCACUCUACUGGGCCAUUACUGACACUGAGAGACGAAAGCUAGGGGAGCAAAUGGG
rnacentral:rRNA from 1 species